rnacentral:lncRNA from 1 species
UUGUUGCGCGUGACCAGCAAUGCGAACGCCGUGUGGAUAGGAUUCUUACUCAGAGUGGGUCCAGCUAUUUUUCCUCGGCGCCAGAAGGCUGCAGCCUGUCCGGAGCCGAGCUGACGACGAGGGGAAGUGACCAUCGUGGUUGCAAGGAUCGGUGUGUGUGCCGGAGCAUCGAAAACGACGCAUGAUCGUAUCCUUAGCCUGGUUUUGAAGCGUAGCUCCCCGUUUGACUCGUGCCUGUGCUUGGAUGUGGACCGGCUCCCCCAGUCUCCCCAUGUUACAGCUCCUCGAAGCGUGACUCGUGAGUGUGCCACCAGACGAUUGGUAUGGUUUUGUCUUCGGGUUGGCGCGUCAGUUGGUCGCAAAGUCAAUGGGCGAGUGAGACGUCGGCAUCUGAUUGCGAGAACGGGGAUCGUGGAGAUACCCUCUGAUGGGUCACUUCAUGAUGGUUCAUUACAGGCGAUUCCAAUGCCAGGUCGCUUGUGUAGCAGUCUGAAGAUUCAUAGUAAGCUCGCCAAUUGGUUGUAAAAUAAUCGUGUUUGCUCUCCUGCUCUUCCAUUCUCUGAUAUGUCUUCUGUGCUCUAUCUCAACGUUAAAAUGCAAAAAAACUCCUUUUGGUAGGUUUGUAAUGCAGAGGAGUCGGUGCUUGCUCGUUUUGGUGAAGCUUUUUGAUGGUCCAUGAAUGCGACAGUAGCUCCUAAACCAUUGCCGUGUGGUCGAACUCCUAAAUCUAGGAUAAAUUUCGGUACAGGUGUGUUUAUUUUUUCAAAAUUACUCAACCUAAUGGUGCGCGGGUUUUGAGCUCACCGAUUAGGAGUGUUGACAGAAAGCAGCAGUCCGGGAGCUCCUUGGUAAUGAAUCACAUUGUGAGCUCCAUCCCUCCUGUGGAGGAUUUCGAUUACGAUGCGGUGCUCAAUACUCACGCACGGGGUGCAAAGAGAAGUUGGAUGUCAAGGUUGCGCUUGUGUGCGUGUAUGUGUUACUUCUCGGUGGUCUUUUCAAUCCUGGCCGCAGCGCUCUCGACACAAUUCGUCAGGUGAGACAGCAACUGCGAGGGCAGGAAUAGUUCCAUUUCGAGAGUUCACGUUGCAGAAAGAUGUCAAGCAGUUACGAAAGCCAAUGCACACGUAGAAUCUACAGUGCAAGGAAUCGCAACUAGGUCAAACAACCCUCAACGUCGACGAGGAACUAAGCAACGUCAGCGAGCUGGUCUUGUUUUCCUGUGAAAUCUUGUAACAUACCUGGUUACAUCUGGGAAAGAAGUAACUGUAGUGCAAAUAACCUGGUGCGAUUUGUCCAGCUUUGCUUAAACAUACUCCAAAAUCACAAGUCUAGGCUUGUAGCCAAAUCAUCCGAAGAAA